rnacentral:rRNA from 1 species
GCGCCAGACUCCUACGGGAGGCAGCAGUGGGGAAUAUUGCACAAUGGGGGAAACCCUGAUGCAGCAACGCCGCGUGAGUGAGGAAGUAUUUCGGUAUGUAAAGCUCUAUCAGCAGGGAAUAGAAAAGAAGGUACCUGAAAAAGAAGCCCCGGCUAACUACGUGCCAGCAGCCGCGGUAAUACGUAGGGGGCAAGCGUUAUCCGGAUUUACUGGGUGUAAAGGGAGCGUAGACGGACUUGCAAGUCUGAUGUGAAAAACCGGGGCCCAACCCCGGAACUGCAUUGGAAACUGUAUAUCGAGAGUGUCGGAGAGGCAAGUGGAAUUCCUGGUGUAGCGGUGUAAUGCGUAGAUAUCAGGAGAAACACCAG